AUGGGAGAAAUUUCUAAUGGGAGAAAUUACUUUUGUUUAAAAAAGCAGACACAGAAUCACGGUAAUAGGUUUAAAGAAACAGCCCUGACUGAAAAACACAUAGAGCUGGAACAGAGAACUGAGAUAUUCAUAUCAGGUUCUGUUGGGGCUGAUCUGCAGUACAUGGCUUGUCAUGAGAUUUUCGCAUGUUUGUUUGUAGGUGCUGUUUCUUUUCAACGUUUAUGUUCUGAAAUGAAAGGUACAGAGUUUUGGGGAAGCUGGCAAGUCACUUGUCACUGUCCUGGAGUAGGAGCAGAGUGCUAUGAGCCUAGAAAAAAGGCCAAUGGUACUCAGAAUAAUCAGUCUCUCCCCAGGCUGCAGCUUCUGGGAAGAUGUGUCCAAUCCCUCUCCUGUCCCCAAAGCAGUCCCCUCAGUUGGGACGUACAGUACCAGUUUCUCCUUUUGUGGAGGUAAGAUGACCACGCUGCCUUAUAGACCCUGUGCUCCUGGAGUCUUGGGUGCCUGGUGAGAGCGGGGACAAAUGUGGUGGAUGCAUCCAUUCAACACAUGUUGAAGCUCCUCUGGUCUUCCCCAGCUCAUGCCCACAGCAGAAGCAGCUGUGCAAGUGGACUGUGACUGCUUCAUACCAUCAUGGAUCUCAUGACAGGGUGGUGAUCUCUUUCUGGGACUCUGUCUCCCAGGAAUUGGCUGUGAUGACCAUGCCAGACUCCUGCUUGACCUGAGUAAGUGACUCAAUGAUGGCUCCUCAAGUUUCAUGGCUCCUCAGGAUGAGACUCUCAUACUGCCAAAAACAACUCUUGGUCCAUGCUUACAGUCCAGCCCACGCGCAGCUGCUCAGUCCUUGCCCCAACCACAGUUUGCCAUGUCCCUGCUCUCCUGUAUAGCAGCAGAGGCUGGGAUGAUGGAUAGGGUAUUGCUAGGGAGGAUAUAGGUGUGUUGGACUCCCAGCAGUUCUGUGAGCAGAGUGAACUGUAUGUGUGGAGAAGCAGACUUGUUCAUGUUUCUCAGCACUAGAGAAUACCCCCUACCACCCUCUCCCCAGCAGAGGGGUGAGGGAUUCAGCCCAAAAUUCCUGAGCUCAGUUUGCUUCAGCUUUUCUGGAAUUUUCAUGCAGGGGAUUUAGACUGCAAAAAAAUGUUUUUGCAAGUUAGGAAUCAGGGUUAGGAGCCUCAUUAGCUGUUACAGAGAAGACAGCAGUGACAGACUGGGGAAGGGCAGAGGAAUUAAGAGAAAUUCAGAGAGAAGCUGUGGACUUGUGCAAAGCACUGGAUGUCUUCAGGGUCACUCUCUCCCUCCUAUCCCAGCCUAGCAUAGUGCAGAGGUUCUAUUGAUGUCUGUGAAAAGGAGGAGUUGUGAGCAAGGGGCUGUGCUGCUUUAGCAUAUGCAUGCCAGGUAAUGUGCUGGUGAAUACCAAAGAAAAGCUGAUGAAAAUCCAGGGAUAUGCUAAUGCAAA
rnacentral:lncRNA from 1 species